UGGGGCGGAGCCCGCCCGCUGCCUUGGAGCACCUGACUCGUUUUUGGCGACGUGACAGACAUCUUUCUGCAUCGUGUUACUCAGGCACUUUGGCGACUCAAACCUGUGGUCACCAAUCUGGAAGAAGUUCAGGCUCCUGAGUCCACUGAGAUGGCGUCAACAGGGACUGUAGCUCAAGAGGAACCAGGACUCAAUUCCAUCUAGAAGGAAAGAGGCAGCCCUGAGGGAGGUGCUCCCUGCCUCCCGCUCUGGGCUUGCU
rnacentral:lncRNA from 13 species